rnacentral:rRNA from 1 species
UACGGGGGGGGCAAGCGUUGUUCGGAAUUACUGGGCGUAAAGGGCUCGUAGGCGGCCAACUAAGUCAGACGUGAAAUCCCUCGGCUUAACCGGGGAACUGCGUCUGAUACUGGAUGGCUUGAGAUUGGGAGAGGGAUGCGGAAUUCCAGGUGUAGCGGUGAAAUGCGCAGAUAUCAGGAAGAACACCAAUGGCGAAAGCAGCUCUCUGGGACGGUACUGGACGCUGAGACGCGAAAGCGUGGGGAGCGAACAGG